rnacentral:pre_miRNA from 1 species
AAUAAGUGCAGCCGUGGAUAUCCGUGCCCAACGUUUGACCGUCCGUUUUAUUUGAAAAAUUUGUGAAAAAAUUAAAAAUAUUUAGUCACACAUAAAAUACUAUUCAUGUUUUAUCAUCUAAUAGCAAUAAAAAUACUAAUCAUAAAAAAUUUUUAAAUAAGACGAACGGUCAAACGUUGAACGUGAAUAGUGUAAAACUGCACUUAUU